ensembl:rRNA 5S_rRNA 5S ribosomal RNA
GUCUAUGCCCAUACCGCCCUAAACAGGCCCAAUUUUGUCUGAUCUUGGAAGCUAAGCAGGGUCAGGUCUGGUUAGUCCUUGGAUAGGAGACUGAAAGAAACAACAGUGGUCUAGGAG